rnacentral:lncRNA from 1 species
GAAAGCGUGAUCAUACUGAUCGAUCGAAAUGCAGAUAUAUGAAAGAGAAAGAAGCUAGAGAGAAUCGAUCCCGGUUUUAUUUAUUAUUCAGAUCGAGAAAAACAAUACCCAGAUCAUUAUAUGCACGUCUCUGAAUUCAUAUACGAUUCUUGGCCAUGCAUAUAUAUUACUCGUUAUUGUUACUGUCAUGAAGGGUUUUGCUGAUGCUUCGAUGACACAUUUCUGUUCGUUCCAAGAGGCAGAUGGGAAUGCAAAUCCAUGACAGGAUGUCCUUAAUUGUUUUCUGGUAACCAAAAAAAAAAAAAUGCUGUCACCAAAUGCAUUAAGAACCAGUAAACUCAUUGAAGAAAACUUCAGCUCUUACCUUCAUUAUGUUCUUAAUUAUUUGAUAACUCAUCGGAAUCUUAACUCGGUUGAUAUAAGUUAAUGAAGUCUCUAAUGGCUGAAACCUAACAUAUAUGCAUGAUUGCAUGAAAAUCAUGAAGAAGUGGUAGCUAAUAUGAACAAUUAAAGAAAAGUUAUGCAACUUUGCAACGUUCUUCUUUAUGAUAAUGGCACUCGUGGAUCUGACUCACUCCAUUAAAGAAAAAAAUUGAUAAGAAAAUAGUUGAGAAUUUUUCUUUUGAAAAGGAGAUAAUAUUAUUUAUAUAGAGAGUAAAAUGAAUAUCACAUCCAAAAUCUUAAUAAUUAAACAGAGAGAUCCAAACUCCUAUUUUGCAUUUCGAUUCCAAUAUGAAGCACUUCACAUUUUGAAUGGUAUGCAUCAUGGGCGGAUACAUGUACAAGGCUUUAUAGGCUCAAGCCUAGAGAGAAUUUUAGGACAAAAAGCCUCAAGUAGGGUAUAUAUAUAUAUAUUACAGCCAUGUUGAGUACUAAAUCCAUUACCAUACUUCGUAUAAGGCUUGACUUCUUACUCAAAGAUUGAUAAUUGUUUCCGGUAAUUUACAGUUCAUACCAUAAAACAAAGCUCAAGUGGUUAAUAAUUAAAUUGGGAUCUAUACUCUAUCUACUUGUGAAGGUAGAGAUCGGCAACCAAGAUUGGUAAUUGUUACCACAAAGCAAGCUGCGGUGCUUAUUAGGGAUCUAAACUCUAUUGAUUUAUAUAUAUUUGUGCUUAUGUUGGCCAAUAUCUAUUUUCAGAGCUCAUCAUUUUUUUACUGAAAAAAAAAAUUGUACAUAAAAAAUUAGCCUAGAUAACUAUUAGAUCAUAGAUCCGCCACUGGUAUGAAUUAUAGAAACUUCACACAAUUCUUAAUUUCAAACCUCUAGUUACUAGCAGAUAAUUUUUAGACGCGACAAAACUAGGCGGACUUCAUUUUUAGAUAGUAAAAUGACAUUUGAUAUCUUCCCAUACACAAAUAUAUGGAAGUAAGUGAAGAGAAAAGCAUACAUGCGUUGUAUAGACCAAUUAUGCGAAGAGAUUAUGUUUGGCCAUUGACAAGUAUAUUUGUAGAAUAUAAAGAUGCCAUUUAGUAUAACGGUGCUUCCCUCUCUUCUUGUUUUGGUAAUAUUAAUUAUUUUAAGCUAAUGGAAUAUAAUGGCAUUUAACUAAUUUUCACAACUUACUUGAGCGACACCAUCCCUCCACCAACUUACCAAAACCCUAAAUUCUCGUUUAAUGAGGAGAACAAAAACAUCGCUUAGAGAAGAGAGACUAUUUUAACGUCGAGAAAUUUUAUUCACACACCUUCAAAUACUAGUUACACAUCCCUUUUUUUUAUACACCCAACAUCAUAAUUAUUGAUGGGUAUGUUAAAUUACCACAAGAGAUACUUUUAUGUUCAUAGUACGUUCCUCAUCAAAAACUCUUCUAAUGUGGUGCCAAUUUCAUCAUUAUCAAUUCAAUAGUGAUAAAAAAUUCUGAAAAAUUGGCAUAUGCGUACUGUCUUGGUCAAGUCCUCAAUUACCAGUAAUCUCAUAUUGGCAUCAGUAUGUUCAACCCAACAUGCAAGUGCAUUCUAAAAAAUAAAACAACAGUGAAAAGCACUGUAUCAACUUGACCAUGCGAUUUAUUGAAUCUCAUACAUAGAGCCAUUGAGGAAAAAAAAAAAAUGCUGAGAUCGCUACUGUAAUAUGACCAUCAUCUUUUUUCUUCUUCUCUUGUACAAGAAAAAAGAAGUCUCAUGAGAUAUACUUCACAGUUUAUUUUAGCCAAAGGAAAAAAGAUUUGUACAUAUUAAGUGAAAAUUUAUGGUGUAUAGGGGAGGAUAGUUUGAGAUGUUUGGGGUUGUGUUUGUAGUAAAAUGUCAAAAUAAAAAAGUAAAUAGGUUGUGUAUUAAUCAUGAGGUGUGUAUCUAUCAUUUAGCAUUGUGUGAAUAAAAUUUCUCUUUAAUUCAUUUAGUUAUUGUUGUCAAUGUUAUUAGGAUGUUAUCUGUGCAUAUAUAUGCUGAUAAUUUUGUCAUAUAGCGUUUGAAAGAGUUGUUUUUUCUUAAGGUUGAUUAUGAGGAUGUAUCGAGGCUUCUGGAUUAGGUUAGGUAAACGGUUCAACAUUUUUCAGUUCUUGUACUUUAAUCGUUGUUUGUAGCGUUGUAUUUUAUAAUAUAGUAUUUUUUCCUAAAAAAACGAUAAAUGAUAGAAAAGUUGAAAAGGAAGGAUCCCAAGUAAAUGUUGAAAUAACUUUUUUGCACCCCCACAACCCUACUGCGUACUAUUUUCACUUUUCAUGAUUCACCCUAGCUAAUACGUACCUUUCGAGCUGGAGUAAGUCUAUGAACAAUUCCAAAAUAAGAUGAUAAAUUCGGUCGAUACCUUCACUUAGUUGGAUGUGUUGUUUUUGUUAUUGAGUUGAAGAAUACAAAAUAGCAGAUGGGAUAUGAAUAUAUUGGGAAUUAGAGUUUGAAAGGGACAAGACAUCUCUCUCACUUCCCCUCCCACCCUAAUGACAGAAGAUGGAGAUCUGGGGCAUAUAAAGAGCUAAAAAGGGGGAAGCAAGCUAGUUGAAGUAAUUAUAUUCGAUUGGCACCUUUGAAAUGAAAGAGA